GUGUUGUGAAAUGUUGGGUUAAGUCCCCGCCCUUUCACGGCGGUAACAGGGGUUCGACUCCCCUACGGGAUACCA
rnacentral:tRNA from 1 species